AUGGGCCGCACCCGGCUGCGCCGCCCAUCACCGCCACCGCGCCGCCGUGGCUGCCGUGGCAGCCGCCGCACCAAGCGGCCCCCGCCGUGCUCGCCGGGCUGCUGCAGCAGCCGCUGCAGCUGCCAUCCAUCGCCCCGUCCUGGCUGUCGUGGCAGCCGCCGCACCAGGCGGCCUCCGCCGCGCUCGUCGGGCUGCUGCAGCAGCCGCUGCAACUGCCAUCCACCGCCACCACCGCCCCGUCCUGGCUGCCGUGGCAGCCGCCGCACCAGGUGGCCUCCGCCGCGCUCAUCGGGCCGCUGCAGCAGCUGCCAUCCACCGCCCCGCCCUGGCUGCAGUGGCAGCCACCGCUCCUGGCGACCUCCGCCGCAGCAGCCGCUGCAACUGCAGCAGCCAUCACCGGUCAGCUCCGACCCCGCAUCGACCGCGCCGACGGAAGUCCCGAUCCACCAGAUCAAGUUCCCGCCGUCACCAUCACCGCUUCCCCAGGGCGUCCCCAUCCAGCAGAUCAAGCUUCCGCCGUCGCCGUCACCGCUUCUAGCUUGGAUCACUACCCGCCACGUGUCGGCGACGGUGAGGCUGCAGGCUGCUGCACGCGGCCUCCUAGCGCGUCGGCGUGUGCGGGAGUUGCGUGGUCUGCAGCUGCCGCUCCUCCCAGUUGCGCUUCGCUGUGCAAAGGACCUCGAUCUCGUCCGCUGCGUCGGGGAUCUUGGGCAUGCUGUUUUCCCCACGGACAACGCCCUCAAAGUCUGCGACAUCGGCGGUUGGGGAGGCGCACCCCUCCUCGCCAUUGUCCAUCGACAACCCUCCACUCUUCUAUGUGCGGUGCCGACCAACAGCCGUCCGGCGGGGAGGCAUGGUGUCACCGACAAGAGCGCACCGCGUAGCACCACUGCAUUCCGCCGCCGGCCGCCGCAAGGGCGCCUCUGCUGGUCGCUCUUGCGACCACUUCCAGGUGGCCAUACACAUGCACUCCUUUUGUCCAGAUGGUGUCCAUGGGAUCCAGGUGGCUGUACACGUGCACGUCCGACGUGCGGAUGGUAUCCACUUUUUGUUAAGAGGUCCAAAAUAAAUCAUCCCAGUCCAUUUCAGGUUGAGAGUAAUAAAACAAGCCGAGAUGUAAAAGGCUUGUUUUUAGGUGUUAGGUUUGUGUUGCCUCGAGUCAUGGUUAUAAGUUGGUUAGGCUGCAGCUUGAGGACAAGCUGCAUGUCCAGGUGGGGUGUAGUGUUAGAGUACGUAAUGGGCCUAAUGGGCCCGUUAGUCUUAGGGUUAAUUAGAGAUAAGAGUCGCUUGCUUAGGGGUCAAGUAAGCCUUGCUUGGGAGUCAAGUAAACCUCUCUAUAUAAAGAGAGGAGAUGUAUCAAUCUAA
rnacentral:rRNA from 1 species